AUGCAAGUCGAACGCGUCUUGGUUAUUGAUGUUAGAUGCUUGCAUUUAACUGAUUUAACAUUGAGACGAGUGGCGAACUGGUGAGUAACACGUGGGUAACCUGCCCUUGAAGUAGGGGAUAACACUUGGAAACAGGUGCUAAUACCGUAUAACAACCAAAACCACCUGGUUUUGGUUUAAAAGAUGGCUUCGGCUAUCACUUUAGGAUGGACCCGCGGCGUAUUAGCUUGUUGGUAAGGUAACGGCCUACCAAGGCAAUGAUACGUAGCCGACCUGAGAGGGUAAUCGGCCACAUUGGGACUGAGACACGGCCCAAACUCCUACGGGAGGCAGCAGUAGGGAAUCUUCCACAAUGGACGAAAGUCUGAUGGAGCAACGCCGCGUGAGUGAUGAAGGGUUUCGGCUCGUAAAACUCUGUUGUUGGAGAAGAACAGGUGUGAGAGUAACUGUUCACAUCUUGACGGUAUCCAACCAGAAAGCCACGGCUAACUACGUGCCAGCAGCCGCGGUAAUACGUAGGUGGCAAGCGUUGUCCGGAUUUAUUGGGCGUAAAGCGAGCGCAGGCGGUUUCUUAGGUCUGAUGUGAAAGCCUUCGGCUUAACCGGAGAAGUGCAUCGGAAACCAGGAGACUUGAGUGCAGAAGAGGACAGUGGAACUCCAUGUGUAGCGGUGAAAUGCGUAGAUAUAUGGAAGAACACCAGUGGCGAAGGCGGCUGUCUGGUCUGUAACUGACGCUGAGGCUCGAAAGCAUGGGUAGCGAAACAGGAUUAGAUACCCUGGUAGUC
rnacentral:rRNA from 1 species